ensembl:lncRNA
GAGACACCGUCUGCCGCAAGCGAGAGAUUGCCACGAUGUUGACAGACGCCUCACUGCAGGAGACCGUGGACACUGUAGACACUGUGGAGAGUGUCGAUACUGGGGAUCAGCCCUUGCCCUCCUCCACUUCUGACGCUGGGACACAAUGUUAUUUGAAGCCCCCCCGAUGGUCUCACGUCCUGAACAGACAGUUGACGACGAUGAUGAUGAUAAUGCCACUGUCAUCAGUGACUUGUCGUGGGUGCCCGAAGAGCCGAUGGAUGAGGAGGAAUUGUUUGAUGAGGAGCAUCCAUGACCAUGACACCCCUGCCUUCUCCAGUUGUGCCCAUGGCCCUCUAGACGGAGAUCAGCGCAACAAAGAGUGGCUGGACCCAGGUACAGUACUGGUAUUAUGCACGCUCUACAUAGUUUUGUUUUAUUUGCUGUCUUUGAGUAAUUGUCUGGAUGCUUUGACAUGUGACCUUUGUGAUAAAAUUAUUUUUUCAUUCCCUGGCAAUCUCAUAACAUUCUGUUUACUGUUUAUGUUUGCUAUAAUUCAUAUGCAGGACAAUUUCAUGUGUGUUUCCAUUUAAAAAAGGAAUUCUGUCUGUCUAUCUUCCUGUCUAUUUGUACGUUUUCCGUCUGUGUGUCUGUCUGCCUCCCUGCCUUUGUCUUUGCAGGCUCAUUGGCAGCAGUCAAGUUGGAGAACAUAAUGAUGAGGGCUGCCUUACUGAAAGAUGUUCGACAGCUGUCUCCACAGCACCAGACCUUCUCGCUUGAGGC